rnacentral:rRNA from 1 species
AUUGAACGCUGGCGGCAGGCCUAACACAUGCAAGUCGGACGAGUGGCGGACGGGUGAGUAUUGUCUGGGAAACUGCCUGAUGGAGGGGGAUAAGUACUGGAAACGGUAGCUAAUACUGCAUACCAUCAGAUGUGCCCAGAUGGGAUUCGCUAGUUGGUGGGGUAACGGCUAACCAAGGCGACGAUCCCUAGCUGGUCUGAGAGGAUGACCCGCCACACUGGAACGGAGACACGGGCCAGACGCCUAAGGGCGGUCGCAGUGGGGAAGAUUGGACAAUGGGCGCCAGACUGAUGCAGCCAUGCGGCGUGUAUGAAGAAGGCCGUCGGGUUGUGAAGUACUUACCGCGGGGAGGCGGUACCAGCAGAAGAAGCACCGGCUAAAUACGUGCCAGCAGCCGCGGUAAUUC